GAUCCUGGCUCAGGAUGAACGCUAGCUACAGGCUUAACACAUGCAAGUCGAGGGGAAACGACAUCGAAAGCUUGCUUUUGAUGGGCGUCGGCCGGCGCACGGGUGAGUAACGCGUAUCCAACCUGCCCAUCACUUGGGGAUAACCUUGCGAAAGUAAGACUAAUACCCAAUGAUAUCCCACGAAGGCAUCCGAAUGGGAUUAAAGAUUUAUCGGUGAUGGAUGGGGAUGCGUCUGAUUAG
rnacentral:rRNA from 1 species